GGAAGUCAUCCGGCCGGAUGAGGGCCCUGUCUCGAAAACAGGCGCGGUGCAGACCGUUGUGGGUUCGAGUCCCACGGCUUCCG
rnacentral:tRNA from 1 species